UCUCAGUACAAGCCGCAUUAAGGUGAAACCGCGAAUGGCUCAUUAAAUCAGUUAUGGUUCCUUAGAUCGUACCCACGUUACUUGGAUAACUGUGGUAAUUCUAGAGCUAAUACAUGCAAACAGAGUCCCGACCAGAGAUGGAAGGGACGCUUUUAUUAGAUCAAAACCAAUCGGUCGGCUCGUCCGGUCCGUUUGCCUUGGUGACUCUGAAUAACUUUGGGCUGAUCGCACGGUCUCCGUACCGGCGACGCAUCUUUCAAAUGUCUGCCUUAUCAACUGUCGAUGGUAGGUUCUGCGCCUACCAUGGUUGUAACGGGUAACGGGGAAUCAGGGUUCGAUUCCGGAGAGGGAGCCUGAGAAACGGCUACCACAUCCAAGGAAGGCAGCAGGCGCGCAAAUUACCCACUCCCGGCACGGGGAGGUAGUGACGAAAAAUAACGAUACGGGACUCAUCCGAGGCCCCGUAAUCGGAAUGAGUACACUUUAAAUCCUUUAACGAGUAUCUAUUGGAGGGCAAGUCUGGUGCCAGCAGCCGCGGUAAUUCCAGCUCCAAUAGCGUAUAUUAAAGUUGUUGCGGUUAAAAAGCUCGUAGUUGGAUUUGUGUCCCACGCUGUUGGUUCACCGCCCGUCGGUGUUUAACUGGCAUGUAUCGUGGGACGUCCUGCCGGUGGGGCGAGCCGAAGGCGCGCGGAGCGCCCCCGUGUGUCUCCGUGCGUCCCGAGGCGGACCCCGUUGAAAUCCUACCGCGGUGCUCUUUACCGAGUGUCGAGGUGGGCCGGCACGUUUACUUUGAACAAAUUAGAGUGCUUAAAGCAGGCAAGCCCGCCUGAAUACUGUGUGCAUGGAAUAAUGGAAUAGGACCUCGGUUCUAUUUUGUUGGUUUUCGGAACCCGAGGUAAUGAUUAAUAGGGACAGGCGGGGGCAUUCGUAUUGCGACGUUAGAGGUGAAAUUCUUGG
rnacentral:rRNA from 1 species